rnacentral:lncRNA from 1 species
UAUUUGCUCUCCAAGAAGUGUCAAGAAAAGAUAAUUAAUGUGGAUAAUGAGAUCCUCUUCAAAGAUCUGCGACAGUUUCUCUGGAGGGCACCAGCUGGCGGUAAAAGUCGAAGCUGGAAAUCGGCCAUGUUUAAGUCUUUCAUAUAAAGAAAGAGAGAGAAAGUAUAUCUCUUCUCUCGUAGCAUUCCGCGAUUCAUAGAUGGAAGGGAUGAGGACAGCAGGGAUGAUGGUGGUUGGAACGUGGACCUGGUUUGGGGUGGGGUGGGGUUCGAAGCCACCCCUCGAAUAAUCCGACGUAUAAAUUGGAUUGUCUGUGGGACGUGGAAACUGAACGGCGGUGCAGGCGUGUAGUGGUUCGGUUGAGACGUGAGGAGGACGAGGUGAGAGAGGCGAGGUGCGAGAGGGACUCGUUGCAAAUAGAGGAGGAGAGAAAGAACGCGGUGGGAUGAGAGAAAGAGUGGAAUUUGAUGGAAGAAAUAAGAGAGAAAUAAGAAGAAGAGAAAAAGAGAAGGAUACAGAAGAGAGUAAGAAAAAAAGCGAGAAAGAGAGAAAGAGAGGGGAGAAGAGCGCGGCGAAACAAAACAGAAGAACAGAAACAAAAUAGAAGAGAGAGGUGAGAAAGAUUUAUUAUAAAGAGAAGGAAAAAGUAAAAACGGCAAGAAUACGAGUAAAUAACGAGAUACAAAGACUUGUUGCGAGAGAAAGAAGAAGAUAAAAACGAAAGAGAAGUAGAAGAGAAGGAGAACAAAAGAGAAACAAGAGAGGGUUGGUUGGUUGCAAUUAUAGAAGAAGAGAAGAAGAAGGAACACGUACAGUCUGUCUGUCGCUUUGGCCUCGCACAACUAUGAAAACUCGUUUCCCAACACAGAGAUAGUAGAAUACACAUAGAUUAUGCGCGAGUCACGGAGGACGGCCAUUCAUACGCCACCCCCGCCUCCACCCUCUGUGAUUUCGCCGGAUCUCCCAUCGCGCCGAUUGCGGGGGUGGAAAUGGUAGGUGGAUUAUGCUCGUCCGCGGCUGAACUCGCGUGCAAUGCAAUUAUGCUCGCGUUAUCGUGCCACCACUCUACGAUAUCGAGCCAAUUUCACUGUGGUGACCCGUUUCAAACUCGUUCCACGCCGCCAACUCUUCUGUAUUGGAUUGCGGGGGUGGUACGAGGUUUACGCUGCAAUGGCGUCAAAUAUGGUACAUUGGAAAUAUAUAGCGUAUAGAAGAUAGGCGAUUCUUGUGAAUUCUUGUGAAUUCGAUUUGUGUCUGUGUUGUGAAGAAUAAUCUUUGCAAAUUCAUAUAAUUAAAAAUGUAUAUACAGAGAAUAUGAUUUGUUAAGUUGAAUUAUAGUGAAAAUUUUCAGUAACCUUAAAAAAGUGGAUUAAAAAAUUAUUUUUAUCUUUCUGUUUACAUGUUUAAAAUAACAUUUCAAAAAGAUAUAAUCAGAAAAGUUAUUAUAGUUAAGUGGUUUUACACUUGGUUUCUACAAAGUGGUCGAAAAAUGUUCAUCUUGCAAAAGGUCAUGAUACAACGAGUGAAAACGAGAAAAUGGGAUUCAUCAUCUAAAUGUAACGGAUUAAUUCAGAAGAUGAUCUUAGGACCAGAUAUCCGACGAAUUGGAAAGGUUCGGAACCACCAAUGCUAUAUCUUGUUAUUUCGAGAAAAACGAGUGAUACGUGACGAUCGGAGGAGAAACACAUCCAGCCAAAUAGACCGAGCUGAUUGUUUAGAAGCCUCGGUUGGAAGUGACUGAAAUCGGUUGUUGGACAAAAAUGUUGAGAAGAGUGUGGUGAUUAUAUUACUCAUAGUUUACCCAUUUUUUGUACUCUGUGAUAACUGUGGAUCAACCAACAACAAAUCAAACGUGUACAAUUUAAAUUUGUAAUAUACAGUGUAAUACUGUAAGAAAGGUUACUUUGGAAAUGAUGUUAACUAUCUUCAAACAGUCACCAACAACAUCAAACACGCUUAUAAAUCUAUAAAGAUGUCAACACAGCAUGAUACUGUAACUAACAGUAUCACUUUGAGGAAAUAUUGAAGUUAAUCAACGUUUUCUUUCACUUCAAACGAACCUCAACUUCAAGAGACCAAUCAACAGGAUCAAACAUAUAUGUGUAUUCCCAUAAUUUACAUUUAUGAAAAUUGUAACAUACUCUGGCUAACAAUGCCCACUUUAGAAAACGCAUGCAUAAAAGUUUAUCAAUGUUAUCUUCCAAUUCAAACUCGACUUCAUCCUCGUUGAAGAGGCCAAUCAACACGUUUCAACUUCGUUCAAAGGGUCAAGCAACGACAUCACAAAUCCGUGCAAAUCCUCCAUCUUUGCCAAGCGAGGCAAACUUCGUUAACCAACUGUGAUUCGACCACCACUUCAAAAUCGUCUAGAACUACAAUUUACGAGCAGCGCGUGCAUACGAUGCUGAUAAACGCGACUCCCUUUAAUGACCCAUUCCUAGUCCACCCCGAUGGACCUCAUCGCCUUCUCCUUCCCACUUUCUUUCUCCCCCUCCCCAUCUUUAUGCAGAUGGCGGCGGAGACCGCGGUUAAUUUCCAACCUCCUGGAUGGCCUCGUUCAUUCUAAUUUCCCCACCAACGUCCCCUGGAUUGGAGUCCAACAACGAUUUGCACGUUGCACCUGUAUCCACGCUCACGUGUGUUUCACUUCGUGGAAUAAUAUCUCCGAAUAAAAAAAAA